rnacentral:rRNA from 1 species
AUUGAACGCUGGCGGAAUGCUUUACACAUGCAAGUCGAACGGCAGCACGGACUUCGGUCUGGUGGCGAGUGGCGAACGGGUGAGUAAUGUAUCGGAACGUGCCCAGUCGUGGGGGAUAACGUAGUGAAAAUUACGCUAAUACCGCAUACGAUCUAUGGAUGAAAGCGGGGGAUCGCAUGACCUCGCGCGAUUGGAGCGGCAGAUAUCAGAUUAGGUAGUUGGUGGGGUAAAGGCCCACCAAGCCAACGAUCUGUACCUGGUAUGAGAGGACGACCAGCCACACUAGAACUGAGACACGUUCCGGACUCCUACGGGAGGCAGCAGUGGGGAAUUUUGGACAAGGGGCGAAAGCCUGUUCCAGCCAUUCCGCGUGCAGGAUGAAGGCCCUCGGGUUGUAAACUGCUUUUGUACAGAACGAAAAGGUUUCUACUAAUACUAGGAGCUCAUGACGGUACUGUAAGAAUAAGCACCGGCUAACUACGUGCCAGCCGCCGCCGUAA